CACCAGGCCCUGUUCCCACAGUGAGGAACCAAGGAAGCGAUGUUACAACAGAGUGGGAGGAAAGCCAGGCAAAACCAAGCAGAAAAUCAAGGGAAAGAAAGGAAGACAUCUGACCUGCGAGGUAUCAUGGGGAUGAAGGAGGACACCCCGUCCCACACGGAAGGAGCAACAGACACGGAGCACAGCAGAGGAAUGAACGGUGGCACGCCAAGAAAGCUCUAGAAGUUUUGCUCAACAGUGACCACUAAUUCUCAUAAUAUACAAAGUGUAGUUUUUCUGAACAGUGACACAAGCAGCAAGCUAAUAACAUCAAUCAUGUGAUCAUGACUUUGCACUGGAGAUAACUGUCCUUGAACCAAGAACAAAGAAAAACCCCUGAAGCAAAUUUCUCUUUUAAACUAAAAAGAUGCUAAUUUAUGUAACUCCCACAAUAAGCUGACAUUAACUGCUUAAAUGAAUGAGAUUUUACUUCAAUUUUUAAACAGCACUCAAAGCAAUUACCUUUCUCACUGCUUUCAAUUUACUACGUUUUUUAAUGCGUAUAAUGUAUACAGUCCCGCGUGUCAUUUAAGUUAAAAUGUAGAAUUUUGAUGCAGCUGCUGGGAUGAGUAUGCAAAGAGGAGAUUCAAUGAAGAGCCUGACGUGGGAGCUGAGGCCUCGGGCUCCAUGCAUGCCACAGCCUGUCCAACCUCAGCCAGGCAGAACCAAAAAAGUACACUCUUGUCACAAAACUGAGUGCACGGCUUACAGAGGUGAAUGGAUAAACAAAUGGCACACCCCACCUGGGAAUACUACACAGCACUGAAAAGUAAUGGACAAGUGAUUCACUCAAUAGCAUGGAUGAAUUUCAAAAUCCUUAUGCUGAGGGAAAGAAGCCGGGGAGAGGGGAAAAUGUAGCAUAGGGCUCCACUUAUAUAAAAUUCUAGAAAAUUCAGACUAGUCCAUAAUGCCAGAAAACAGAUCCAUGGUUUUGUGUUUGCGUACGGGAAGAUUACAGCAAUACACACAAAAACCUUUCGGGGAGAUGACUGUGGUGAUAGUUUCAUGGGUAUUUACAGAUGUUGAAACUGAUCAAAUUGUACACUUUAAACAAUGACUGUAUUUCAAUUGUACCUCAAUAAAGUUGCUUU